rnacentral:rRNA from 1 species
CCAUCCCUACGGGGCGCAGCAGUCGAGAAUCAUUCACAAUGGGGGAAACCCUGAUGGUGCGACGCCGCGUGGGGGAAUGAAGGUCUUCGGAUUGCAAACCCCUGUCAUGUGGGAGCAAAUUAAAAAGAUAGUACCACAAGAGGAAGAGACGGCUAACUCUGUGCCAGCAGCCGCGGUAAUACAGCGGUCUCAAGCGUUGUUCGGAAUCACUGGGCGUAAAGCGUGCGUAGGCUGUUUCGUAAGUCGUGUGUGAAAGGCGCGGGCUCAACCCGCGUAUGGCACAUGAUACUGCGAGACUAGAGUAA